UCACGCAAGUGGACCCAGAGGUCUCCGCCCGCUGCGCCACAAGGGCCGAGUGGAGCACCGACCCUGAGGGCGCCCGGAAGCAGUAGGAGCCGCUGCCAGGCGCCCCCGUGAGGCAACUCGCCGCCGCUGGGAGGAAACUGAGGCCCUGAGCUCAGAAGGGACUGCUCCUUCCAAACUGGGAAAGGGAUUGCUUCAUCUGAUGCAUAGAAACCAGCACAGAGAGUCCAGCAGGAUGAAGAAAACACAACUGCAUUGCCGUGUGGGAAACCAGCAACCCUGCAUGUCCUGUGGGUGAAGCUGCUGCCCUUGGGCUCACCUUCCCAGAGCCCCCUGUGCAGACUGCUGGCUAUUAGCAAGAGGGGAUUUGAUGUCCCUCUCAUCUUGGGAUGCAUGGUAAGAAAUUUAUGAAAACACUGGGUCCUGGAGCCUAAAAGAGGAGAUGGUAGCUAAAAAACAAAGUAGUCUAGCUUGCUAAGGACUCUGUUCUUUGUAGGUGAGGGCUAGAAAUUGUUUUUGAGGGUGGAAAUGGUGGUAAUACCUCCAAGGGAGGUGCCCGUGUUCCAACAUGGAACUGGACAUGACUGGGAUUGGAUUAGAGUGAAGGAGAUAGAGGACACCAGCCUGCCCAAGGAAACUUUCUCCUUGUAGAAGUUGGAAUAACACACCAAACACCAGAAGGAACAACCAUCGAAGGCUGUCUUGAGACAGGAAUGAGUACUGGCUGCAUCCUUUUAGAUAUCUUAUCGUUUCCUCUAGGACAUUAUGCUUUCUUUCCCCAGAUCUUUCAGUUGUGUUUUAUCUUCAAAUAAAAAAGAGAAACUUCUUCCAGAGCCCAGAGGGACCACUGUAACCACAGGAUCACCAUGACCACUCUUUGGCCCCAGGAAAGGGCCCACUCAGAUAGCAUCAGACUGGAUGAGGGACUUCCAAAUGGAACAACAUGUUGCUACUGUGUCCUGGAAGGUCCAACUGUCUCCACUUACAAGGGUCUUAUGUAUCUCCAUAAGGUUUGGGAGAAUUGGUUGUGAGAACAAUGUGGAUACUGAUGGAGAAAAUACAAGGUGGCCCAGAGUGGCCAUUGAUUUUCUUCCUUGGGUUUCUGAGAAAGCUUUGCUCCCUAGGCACCUUUAUCCGGCUUGCUGACCGAAGCAUUAUUCACACUUCUCCUGUGGCCAUGAGGGUGAGACACCUGCUGCUAGGGACUCCAGGCUCCUACCUCUGAAGGACAGUGGACUAAAUUUCUGACAGGGGCCAUGAGACACCUUUGAGGGAAAGAGAUGUAAGAGCUCUGAUCUCUGAGGACAUAAAGGCUCUCACAGGUGCUUGCUUUAGUUAUCACUGCCUUUUAGAUGGCAUUUUCCAUGAGGUUCUAAAUUCUUCAUCAUUCUUCGCAGACUGGGAAUGGGCUCAGAGGGGAAGUCGUGCCCCCUUGUGAAGUGUACUAAGGGGUCUUCGGAAGGUCCCACCAUGGCCUCCCACACAGCAAAUGCAUUACCUCUGUCUGUGAAGAAUGGAAAUGUUAUGAAUAUCAUAACAUGAGGGUGAGGGUGAUCUCUGAAAUCCAUUGUGAGCAUGGAACUCAAUGGCCAUUAUCAGAGAUAACAAUCGUUGGCAUUAUUCAUAUGUGCUGUACGGGCCAUAAAACACUUGGCAACACAUCUCAUUGGAUUCUCACACUCUCGAUGAGAGGUAGGGAAGGCAUGUAUCAUUCUAAUCUCAUUUUACAGAAGGGAAAAAAGAGGCCCCGGGAGUCAAGCAAUGAGGGGGACACCUUCAUUGCUAUGCUCCUGGAAAAUAGGGGUGCUCUAGGAACCUCACCCUCUUGUAUUCUAACAGCUGACUGAAAAGAGCCAUCUUUCCCCUGUGACUUACACAUGACUCACAGGUGUCUCCUUGUUUCCCUGUGAAGCGGCCAGACACAGACCCUCCAGAUCCCUGCCUCAUAAGGGAUUAGGUAUUUGACCAGUUGAGACAAAAUACCUGCUAACUUGACUUGGUCACACUCUUACAGAUUUCUCUCCUUCCUGGUUUAACCUUUGAACUUUGAUCUCCUGACGUUGAGUCAGCAUCAGGGUGUGGACCAGCUGCUCUCUGAGAGGGGGCUGAUUUCAGGGAAAGACAUUUCCUGAUUAGCUAUCUGAUCAAGCCAUCCAUUCAUACCACUCCCUACUCCUGGUUCUUCUAGACCAGCUUACUCCACCCAGGAAAGAAAAUUCCUUUUUGCCCAACCUUUGAGAGGAUCUUAGGUCAGAGUGUUGCAACAGUCUUUUCGAGUGAAGUCCCCCUUCAUCUAAGUCUUUGUAUGUGAUGUGGCACAGGCUAAGGAUCAGAGAAAGCUUCCUGCCACCCAGUCUUGGUCACCCUCAUGGUCUGACUGUUGCACCUGCCGGGGUGGGUGGUUGAAUUGUGGCCCUGACUCUGGGCCCUGCCUAUUCCAAACUUGGUUCCCAUGGCUCACUUGGGGGUCUUGCAGCAUGGUGCCCUGCAAAGGUCUCUGGAAUACAGCUCUUUCAUGAGAACCGAGGAGCAAUCUCAAAGGACAUGGGUGCUCCAGGGAAGACUUAUGCUGCUGUGUUUAUACGGGUGUCUUACGUGAACCUGAGAAUAAGUGUGUCCCAUUAAGAAGU